rnacentral:misc_RNA from 1 species
GAAAAUGUUAGAGCUGAGUGUGCUCUAUGGUAGAGCUGAAAGUGAGUUUGAGAGAUAUAAAAAAAUGAGGAAGAAAGAAAGAAAAAAAUUUCAGUACUUGUUUUUGUAUUCCUUUGUUAUAUUAAUAAAAUUUUUGUUUUUUCACUCCAUCUCUAGUAUUCCUUUUGUUUCUUAAUGUGAAUCUUUUGGUUUUAUAUACAGUUCUUUCUUCCUUUAUUUUUCAGCUCCAUUUUCUGCAUACUGCAGAAUUUAUAUUUUCAUUUCUUGUUCUUAAAUACAUGUUUUAAGCCUCUAUCA